UUCCACGUAGCUCAGUUGGCAGAGCACGAGCCUCUUAAUCUCAGGGUCCUGGGUUCAAGCCCCACAUUGGGCAAAA